ensembl:snoRNA
AAGCCAACCAAUUAAUCUGCUUAUCUAAGUGUGUUUCUGCAGAAAUUUAGAAAAAGCUGAGAACAGUGAUGACAUGUUAUGAGCCUUAAGGACCAGUGUUGUCAUUAUGGCUCCACAAAAUAGCUACAAUA